GUCCACAGCAGAGUCAAGCCAGCUUGGUUUCCAUGGUUUCCAGCAGGGGAGAAGGAAGAAAGCACGGAUAGAUUUUUGCUAGGAUCAGAUGCUUGGUAUGCAGUAUACACAAAGCCAGGCAAUAUGCCGUGCUUCAGGAAUGGGUCCUCUUCCACUUCACCACAUUGGUGUCCACCUCAGCUCUGUCUGUGACUCAGUGGUGGAGCAUACACAUGCCAGCUGUGACAGGAAGAUAACUGCCACAAGUGGAGGGCACAUGUGAAGGACCACCAUGUCAGGACACUGAUUUGUAGUUCCCCUACAAAUUCAUACUACCCUCAUGAUUAGAAAGAUCCCUUAAGCAAGAAAAUGAAAAUUGUUAAUGCUUUUUCCCUAGGCAGAUUGUUAAAUAACCUUCUGUUUUGAUCAUCCACGGGCUCCUGUGAUCAGUCUUUCUCUCCUGUCUGGAACAGCAAUAUUU
rnacentral:lncRNA from 1 species